rnacentral:sRNA from 1 species
CAGGCCAGCGCCGUGUGGCACAGAAUCAGUCGUCAGUUUGUCCUAAGCGGAUUUGGUCGACACGUGUGUAGAUCCAGAGCCGAAAAGAGUUUAGAACGUGACUAAAACAGACACCAAAACCAAACCAAAGAAAACGCAAAAAGUAAAAGCGGAAGAAGCGGAACAAAAAACCUUAGGAAAAAAGCAAAACUAAUUUGCACUUUGAACUGAAGUUGGUCCUGCGUCCUGCGGAAUUGUUGCUGCAAAAGUUUUUCCCCCCCCGGAUUUCAUUGGAAGACAACAGCCCAAGUGCGAAGUGCUCUACUCGACUCGUUUCGACGCGACUCCCGCUCUUAACGACUCCCGGGCGGCAUUGGCAUUGUCUGUCGGCACGGAGUUUCCUGCACACAAAAAGGUCCUGUGUCCGGGCU